UACGUAGGGUGCAAGCGUUAAUCGGAAUUACUGGGCGUAAAGCGUGCGCAGGCGGUUUUGUAAGUCUGUCGUGAAAGCCCCGGGCUCAACCUGGGAAUUGCGAUGGAGACUGCAAGGCUUGAAUCUGGCAGAGGGGGGUGGAAUUCCACGUGUAGCAGUGAAAUGCGUAGAGAUGUGGAGGAACACCGAUGGCGAAGGCAGCCCCCUGGGUCAACACUGACGCUCAUGCACGAAAGCGUGGGGAGCAAACAGG
rnacentral:rRNA from 1 species